rnacentral:tRNA from 1 species
GCCUUGGUGGUUCAGUGGUAGAAAUCUUGCCUUUCAUGUGGGAGAUCCAGGUUUGAUUCCUGGCCAGUGCG